rnacentral:rRNA from 1 species
GACGAACGCUGGCGGCGUGCCUAAUACAUGCAAGUCGAACGCUGAAGGAGGAGCUUGCUUCUCUGGAUGAGUUGCGAACGGGUGAGUAACGCGUAGGUAACCUGCCUGGUAGCGGGGGAUAACUAUUGGAAACGAUAGCUAAUACCGCAUAAUAGUAGAUGUUGCAUGACAUUUGCUUAAAAGGUGCAAUUGCAUCACUACCAGAUGGACCUGCGUUGUAUUAGCUAGUUGGUGGGGUAACGGCUCACCAAGGCGACGAUACAUAGCCGACCUGAGAGGGUGAUCGGCCACACUGGGACUGAGACACGGCCCAGACUCCUACGGGAGGCAGCAGUAGGGAAUCUUCGGCAAUGGACGGAAGUCUGACCGAGCAACGCCGCGUGAGUGAAGAAGGGUUUCGGAUCGUAAAGCUCUGUUGUAAGAGAAGAACGAGUGUGAGAGUAGAAAGUUCACACUGUGACGGUAUCUUACCAGAAAGGGACGGCUAACUACGUG